AUUGAACGCUGGCGGCAGGCCUAACACAUGCAAGUCGAGCGGAUGAAGGGAGCUUGCUCCUGGAUUCAGCGGCGGACGGGUGAGUAAUGCCUAGGAAUCUGCCUGGUAGUGGGGGAUAACGUCCGUAAACGGGCGCUAAUACCGCAUACGUCCUGAGGGAGAAAGUGGGGGAUCUUCGGACCUCACGCUAUCAGAUGAGCCUAGGUCGGAUUAGCUAGUUGGUGGGGUAAAGGCCUACCAAGGCGACUCUCCGUAACUGGUCUGAGAGGAUGAUCAGUCAUACUGGAACUGAGACACGGUCCAGACUCCUACGGGAGGCAGCAGUGGGGAAUAUUGGACAAUGGGAGAAAGCCUGAUCCAGCCAUGCCGCGUGUGUGAAGAAGGUCUUCGGAUUGUAAAGCACUUUAAGUUGGGAGGAAGGGCAGUAAGUUAAUACCUUGCUGUUUUGACGUUACCAACAGAAUAAGCACCGGCUAACUUCGUG
rnacentral:rRNA from 1 species